rnacentral:rRNA from 1 species
CUACGGGUUGCAGCAGUCGAGAAUCUUCGGCAAUGGACGCAAGUCUGACCGAGCGACGCCGCGUGCGGGAUGAAGGCCUUCGGGUUGUAAACCGCUGUCAGAGGGGAUGAAAUUUUGACAUAUCCUCAGAGGAAGGACGGGCUAAGUUCGUGCCAGCAGCCGCGGUAAGACGAACCGUCCAAACGUUAUUCGGAAUCACUGGGCUUAAAGGGUGCGUAGGCGGCCUGGUAAGUUGGGUGUGAAAUCUCUCGGCUCAACCGAGAAACUGCGCCCAAAACUACCUGGCUUGAGGGAGUCAGAGGUGAGCGGAACUCAGGGUGGAGCGGUGAAAUGCGUUGAUAUCCUGGGGAACACCGGUUGCGAAAGCUGCUCACUGGGGCUCUUCUGACGCUGAGGCACGAAAGCUAGGGGAGCAAACGGGAUUAGAUACCCCCGUAGUC